UCCUGGCUCAGGAUAACGCGGGGGUGCUUAACACAUGCAAGUCGAACGGAUGAAGCCAGCUUGCUGGUGGAUUAGUGGCGAACGGGUGAGUAACACGUGAGUAACCUGCCCUUGACUCUGGGAUAAGCCUGGGAAACUGGGUCUAAUACCGGAUAUGACUCCUCAUCGCAUGGUGGGGGGUGGAAAGCUUUUUGUGGUUUUGGAUGGACUCGCGGCCUAUCAGCUUGUUGGUGAGGUAAUGGCUCACCAAGGCGACGACGGGUAGCCGGCCUGAGAGGGUGACCGGCCACACUGGGACUGAGACACGGCCCAGACUCCUACGGGAGGCAGCAGUGGGGAAUAUUGCACAAUGGGCGAAAGCCUGAUGCAGCGACGCCGCGUGAGGGAUGACGGCCUUCGGGUUGUAAACCUCUUUCAGU
rnacentral:rRNA from 1 species